rnacentral:tRNA from 1 species
GGGCCUGUGGCGGAAUUGGCAGACGCAGCGGACUUAAAAUCCGCAGUCUCGAAAGAGACGUGAGGGUUCGAGUCCCUCCGGGCCCA